rnacentral:rRNA from 1 species
AGUCAUAUGCUUGUCUCAAAGAUUAAGCCAUGCAUGUCUCAGUACAAGCCAAAUUAAGGUGAAACCGCGAAAGGCUCAUUAAAUCAGUUAUGGUUCCUUAGAUCGUACCCACAUUUACUUGGAUAACUGUGGUAAUUCUAGAGCUAAUACAUGCAAACAGAGCUCCGACCGGAGACGGAAGGAGCGCUUUUAUUAGAUCAAAACCAAUCGGCGGCGGGUCCGUCGUCGUACAACCUGGUGAAUCUGAAUAACUUUCUGCUGAUCGCAUGGUCUCGCACCGGCGACGCAUCUUUCAAAUGUCUGCCUUAUCAACUGUCGAUGGUAGGUUCUGCGCCUACCAUGGUUAUAACGGGUAACGGGGAAUCAGGGUUCGAUUCCGGAGAGGGAGCCUGAGAAACGGCUACCACAUCCAAGGAAGGCAGCAGGCGCGCAAAUUACCCACUCCCGGCACGGGGAGGUAGUGACGAAAAAUAACGAUACGGGACUCAUCCGAGGCCCCGUAAUCGGAAUGAGUACACUCUAAACCCUUUAACGAGGAUCAAUUGGAGGGCAAGUCUGGUGCCAGCAGCCGCGGUAAUUCCAGCUCCAAUAGCGUAU